GGGGCUGUAGUGUAGCUUGGUCCAUCACUUAAGGCUGGGGGUCUUAUAACCCAGGUUCAAAUCCUGGCAGCCCCA
rnacentral:tRNA from 1 species